rnacentral:tRNA from 1 species
GCGCUCGUAGCUCAACUGGAUAGAGCAACGGUCUUCGGAACCGUAGGUUGGGGGUUCGACUCCCUCCGAGCGCA